rnacentral:tRNA from 1 species
GCCCCCAUAGCCCAACGGCAGAGGCAGUCGACUUAAAAUCGACCGAGUGUCGGUUCGAAUCCGACUGGGGGCA